CUGUCUUCCAGCUUUCGGGAGUACAAAAUUCCUGUAGGGAUAAAAAGGUGUACUAGACAAAUCUCUCUUUCCCUUGCCCCAACCAACCAUCGCGUGUGUUCUGCAGCCAGUGGACCUAAAUCCUAGUCUUCACCAUCUAGAAGAUCCGUUGAAAGACUGAAUACCUGUAAUUCCUGCCAUGAACUUCUCCUUACGAGGGAAAAAAAUAAUUUGAAAGAAUGAAACUACUGCAAAGAAUUAUAGACAGCAAGAGACAGAGACAGAGAGAAAGGUCUUCCCUCUGUUGGUUCACUCCCCAAAUGGCUGCCACAGCUGGUGUUGCACUGAUCUGAAGCCAGGAGCCAGGUGCUUCCUCCUGGUCUCCCAUGCGGGUACAGGGGCCCAAGCACUUGGGUCAUCCUCCACUGCACUCCCAGGCCACAGCAGAGAGCUGGACUGGAAGAGGAGCAACCGGGACCAGAACCUGGCGCCCACAUGGGAUGCUGUCGCCGUAGGCGGAGGAUUAACCAACAUGUAAAGGGGACUUUGGAGUUACUGCGUGCACAAGUGCAGCAUGAGGAAGUCCAUCGAGGAACAGCUGUGAGCACACACGACGUGGGGACCACACAGAAGGAGCUCCCUGAUGUCAGGAUCAUCUUAAUCAGUGACAGCCUUAUCACUUCUCGGAGAAGGAGAACAUGGCCUUUCUAGGCUGAAGACAGAUCACCUUUCAGUGAAACUCUCGAUCUGGGUGAUGCCUGUAAGUGUCAAUAUUUAUAGAAAAACUGUUCAUGUCCCUGGAAUGAGGAACUCAGAGACGGAGUCAAAAGGAAUGGAAACUCAGAGAUAAGAAGAGUGGACCCGGGUGUCCUGUCCAGCUUGGGGCUCCACUGUGUGGUCCUCACUCGGGGAGGGGCAGGGAGGAGAACGCAGAACACACAUGGGGAGUGGCUGCACUCUCUGUGGUCUUUGAAGAGGGGAGACCUUGGUUUGAUGCCUCCCCUGUGGUUGUUGGAGCAGGACUUCUGCAAAGGCGUAUUUCUGUGUGCAAACGACUGAUACCCUCGUCUAAGUUCGGUGGAAUGCAGCUGGACUCAUUGGUCUUAAAUCAGCUGCUGGCACUGAGCAAGAAAUAGACUCUCCUGUUUAAAAUACUCCACUUACCUAUUGAUACACGAAGAGCUACCCAAAACUUACUGGCUUUCAAACAACAAUCUUUUCCUUUGUUCACAGUCCUGGGAGUCAGAAUGCAGGAUCGGGGCCGGAGGGCUUGUUCCUGUCUUAUGUUCCUGUCUUAUGGGGCUGCAGGGAUCGGCUUGAGUGGCUGGCAGCCAGCUGGGAUGGCCUUAUCUGAGCCGGACUUCUGAAGUCUUGGUUGCGGCUGUUGCCUGGGCUGCUCAGUUUCCUCUUGUAUGGCCACUCUUGUGAGGCCAGCUUAGACUCCCUCACAAUAUGGUGGUCUCGGGAAGACAAUAAACCCCAGUGUACAUGUGUUUAUGAAGCUUUUGCUUGUGUCCUGAUGACUGAAGAUGCAUUGGUCAAAUUAAGUCACAUGGCCACACUCAGAGAAAAUGUGGGAGGGACUACGGACAGACAUGAGUCCCCGUGAUGCAGGCACACUGGGGUAUCUGUGGUGGACUCAGAAAGUCAUGCAACAUUUAGUGUUCAUUUUCACUUGUACAAGAUUACAUAGAUAUGUGUGUAAUUGUGGAACAAUAUUGCUUAAUGAUCAUAAAUGGUAUUUGUAAUUGGUGUUCUUUUCUCAAAGAAAUGGUAUGCCAUGUUAUUUCAUGCCAAGUAAACUUUUAAAAGUUUCUAAGCUAAGUAUAGUUUGCAUCAAAUAAUUUAAGUUCAUCUGUUAAGAAAAUAAACUUGGUCUUUA